rnacentral:rRNA from 1 species
GAUGAACGCUGGCGGCGUGCCUAAUACAUGCAAGUCGAGCGAACGGACGAGAAGCUUGCUUCUCUGAUGUUAGCGGCGGACGGGUGAGUAACACGUGGAUAACCUACCUAUAAGACUGGGAUAACUUCGGGAAACCGGAGCUAAUACCGGAUGAUAUUUUGAACCGCAUGGUUCAAAAGUGAAAGACGGUCUUGCUGUCACUUAUAGAUGGAUCCGCGCUGCAUUAGCUAGUUGGUAAGGUAACGGCUUACCAAGGCAACGAUGCAUAGCCGACCUGAGAGGGGGAUCGGCCACCCUGGAACUGAGACACGGUCCAAACCCCUACGGGAGGCAGCAGUAGGGAAUCUUCCGCAAGGGGCGAAAGCCUGACGGAGCAACGCCGCGGGAGUGAUGAAGGUCUUCGGAUCGUAAAACUCUGUUAUUAGGGAAGAAAAUAUGUGUAAGUAACUGUGCACAUCUUGACGGUACCAAAUCAGAAAGCCACGGCUAACUACGU